AGUGAACGCUGGCGGCGUGCCUAACACAUGCAAGUCGAACGAUGAUGGAUGAGCUUGCUCAUCCUGAUUAGUGGCGCACGGGUGAGUAUACCAUAGAUAAUGUACCCCUUAGUUCGGGAUAGCCACUGGAAACGGUGAUUAAUACCGGAUACUCCUUCUUGCCAUAAGGUAAGUCGGGAAAGUUUUUUCGCUAAGGGAUCAGUCUAUGUCCUAUCAGGUAGUUGGUGAGGUAACGGCUCACCAAGCCUAUGACGGGUAUCUGGUUUGAGAGAAUGAUCAGACACACUGGAACUGAGACACGGUCCAGACUCCUACGGGAGGCAGCAGUGAGGAAUAUUGCACAAUGGAGGAAACUCUGAUGCAGCAACGCCGCGUGGAGGAUGACGCAUUUCGGUGUGUAAACUCCUUUUAAGAGGGAAGAUUAUGACGGUACCUCUUGAAUAAGCACCGGCUAACUCCGUGCCAGCCGCCGCAGUAA
rnacentral:rRNA from 1 species